rnacentral:lncRNA from 1 species
UUGCCUAAGGAAAAUAUGAAUUGUACAGAUUUCUACAGUAGACUUUUUUCUCCCCCUUGCUUUACAGGUGUUUCAUCUUUUCGGUAAAAGCCAUCAGUUCUCUUCAGGGAAUUCCAGCGAGCUGAGUAUACCACAAAACGCCCAGGAAGACCCUGAUGCCAUCAGGUCUGGAAUGGGUACUGCCAUCAUAGUACUUGAAUGCUCAGGUGCUCUGUCUCAGAUGUUCCCAAGUCCACAAAGGAAAAGCACCUACCUUCCCGAUCCUUCUGGCCAUGGAAGCAGAUCUGGGCACAAGAUCUUCUGAAGUUUUAUCUUCUGGUUUCUGAGACUGCUACAGACUGCUUAAGACAAGGUAUUGUUCUUUCCUACUCUUUUUGUUUAAAUCCAUGGGCCAGCUGGGAUUCACUCGAUGGCUGUAAAAGGUUACUCAUGUAUUUACAAGGCUGAAAAAUCAGUUAGUAAG